GCCUCAGUAACGGCGAGUGAAGCGGCAAAAGCUCAAAUUUGAAAUCUAGCACUUUCAGUGUUCGAGUUGUAAUUUGAAGAAGGUAACUUUGGUUUUGGCUCUUGUCUAUGUUCCUUGGAACAGGACGUCACAGAGGGUGAGAAUCCCGUGCGAUGAGAUGCCCAAUUCCAUGUAAAGUGCUUUCGAAGAGUCGAGUUGUUUGGGAAUGCAGCUCUAAGUGGGUGGUAAAUUCCAUCUAAAGCUAAAUAUUGGCGAGAGACCGAUAGCGAACAAGUACAGUGAUGGAAAGAUGAAAAGAACUUUGAAAAGAGAGUGAAAAAGUACGUGAAAUUGUUGAAAGGGAAGGGCUUGAGAUCAGACUUGGUAUUUUGCGUUCCCUUCCUUUUUGGUUGGGUUCCUCGCAGUUUACUGGGCCAGCAUCGGUUUGGAUGGUAGGAUAAUGACAUUGGAAUGUAGCUUUACUUCGGUGAAGUGUUAUAGACUUUGUUGAUACUGCCUAUCUAGACCGAGGACUGCGUCUUUGACUAGGAUGCUGGCGUAAUGAUCUUAAGCCGCCCGUCUUGAAACACGGACCA
rnacentral:rRNA from 1 species